CCUCGUCUCUUUCUCUCUUUCCUCUCCCUUCACUUCAAGACUUCUUCUUCUAACUCGGUGUCUCUGUACGUCCAUUCUCACGCAUUGCUAAGAAAGAGAGUUAAGUUUUCGAAGAAGGAAAAACAUAAGAAAGUUUUCAUUUUGUAGGGAAACAGAAACAUUU